GGAACUUUGGUGUAGAUGGUUUGUCACAUCAGAUUGAAGCUCUGAGGGCUGGGGUUCGACUCCCUGAGGUUCCA
rnacentral:tRNA from 1 species